rnacentral:pre_miRNA from 1 species
UAGCUACUCCCUCCGUUUGGAAUUACUUGUCGCGAAAAUACAUGUAUCUAGACAUAUUUUAGUUCUAUAUACAUUCAUUUCUGAGACAAAUAAUUUCGAACGGAGGGAGUAGAUC